GACGAACGCUGGCGGCGUGCUUAACACAUGCAAGUCGAACGGAAAGGCCCUGCUUUUGUGGGGUGCUCGAGUGGCGAACGGUUGAGUAACACGUGAGUAACCUGCCCUUGACUUUGGGAUAACUUCAGGAAACUGGGGCUAAUACCGGAUAGGAGCUCCUGCUGCAUGGUGGGGUUGGAAAGUUUCGGCGGUUGGGGAUGGAUUCGCGGCUUAUCAGCCUGUUGGUUGGGUAGUGGCUUACCAAGGCUUUGACGGGUAGCCGGCCUGAGAGGGUGACCGGCCACAUUGGGACUGAGAUACGGCCCAGACUCAUACGGGAGGCAGAAGUGGGGAAUAUUGCACAAUGGGCGGAAGCCUGAUGCAGCAACGCCGCGUGCGGGAUGACGGCCUUCGGGUUGUAAACCGCUUUCGCCUGUGACGAAGCGUGAGUGACGGUAAUGGGUAAAGAAGCACCGGCUAACUACGUG
rnacentral:rRNA from 1 species